ACUUCCCCCACCUCACUGCCC
rnacentral:miRNA from 1 species